rnacentral:rRNA from 1 species
UACGUAGGGGGCAAGCGUUAUCCGGAAUUACUGGGCGUAAAGCGCACGUAGGCGGUUCCUUAAGUCGGGGGUGAAAUCCUGGAGCUCAACUCCAGAACUGCCUUCGAUACUGGGAAACUUGAGUCCGGGAGAGGUGAGUGGAACUGCGAGUGUAGAGGUGAAAUUCGUAGAUAUUCGCAAGAACACCAGUGGCGAAGGCGGCUCACUGGCCCGGUACUGACGCUGAGGUGCGAAAGCGUGGGGAGCAAACAGG